AUUGAACGCUGGCGGCAGGCCUAACACAUGCAAGUCGAGCGGAUGAAGAGAGCUUGCUCUCUGAUUCAGCGGCGGACGGGUGAGUAAUGCCUAGGAAUCUGCCUGGUAGUGGGGGACAACGUUUCGAAAGGAACGCUAAUACCGCAUACGUCCUACGGGAGAAAGUGGGGGAUCUUCGGACCUCACGCUAUCAGAUGAGCCUAGGUACGAUUAGCUAGUUGGUGAGGUAAAGGCUCACCAAGGCGACGAUCGUUAACUGGUCUGAGAGGAUGAUCAGUCACACUGGAACUGAGACACGGUCCAGACUCCUACGGGAGGCAGCAGUGGGGAAUAUUGGACAAUGGGCGGAAGCCUGAUCCAGCCAUGCCGCGUGUGUGAAGAAGGUCCUCGGAUUGUAAAGCACUUUAAGUUGGGAGGAAGGGCAGUAAGUUAAUACCUUGCUGUUUUGACGUUACCGACAGAAUAAGCACCGGCUAACUUCGUGCCAGCAGCCGCGGUAACAC
rnacentral:rRNA from 1 species